UAUUCCCAAUUAGAACUGCUUCUGGUUCUUUCUUCUUCCUUCUUCACGCAAAUUAGGGCACUCUCCCCUGGUUUUUUCUUCUUCUGAUCUUCGAAUUGAAUGGUGGCGGUUAAUCAAUAUUUCUGGUAAACAAUUUUUCCUUUCUUUCUCUUGCGGUGGUGGCUAAUCGGUUUAUACGACGGUUACUCUUUCUUCUCCGGCAGCACACACGACGGCGGUUUCUUCUUCGUACAACGGCUCAAGAAAUGGAAAGGAGAAAAGAGGGUAAGCUAGGUGAAGCAAGAGCUGCGCUGCGCUAAGGCGUUCUAUGAGGGACAACGGGAUUUUUCGAAGCACCCUGAAGCGGCUUAGGAUUAUGAGAAAUUCUGAACCUAUCAAACUUGGUAGUCAUAAACGUACUUUUGCAGCAUCAACAUGUCUAGAUAAGAACACGAGACAAAGAAGGAAUGACAUUUGAUAUUAUGUGUACUCACUCUACCUUCUGAUUGGAUGAAAACUCAACUAAGUUCUUUCUAAUGGGUCAUUGAUCCUCUGUUUUGGGCUCUCUUUUGAAAUCAAGUCUGUUACAAACUCAAGAGGGGAAGGUAAAAAAUAAUACACGGAUGAUGAUUUGGAUGAAGUUUGUGAAGAAUGGGGAAGUUAUGUGGCAAACUUGAUUUACCGGUCUUGAACUUUAUAUAAUUUAGCGGUUGUAAACUUUUAUGGUUAUUAUUAGAAUUUUAAAUUACUUGUAGUGUAUGAAACGCAUAGUU